rnacentral:rRNA from 1 species
UACGAAGGGGGCUAGCGUUGUUCGGAAUUACUGGGCGUAAAGCGCACGUAGGCGGAUUUGUAAGUCAGGGGUGAAAUCCCGGGGCUCAACCUCGGAACUGCCUUUGAUACUGCAAGUCUCGAGUCCGAUAGAGGUGAGUGGAAUUCCUAGUGUAGAGGUGAAAUUCGUAGAUAUUAGGAAGAACACCAGUGGCGAAGGCGGCUCACUGGAUCGGUACUGACGCUGAGGCGCGAAAGCGUGGGGAGCAAACAGG